AAAACCACGAGUUUGAUCGUGGCUCAGAUUGAACGCUGGCGGCAUGCUUUACACAUGCAAGUCGAACGGCAGCACGGGGGCAACCCUGGUGGCGAGUGGCGAACGGGUGAGUAAUGCAUCGGAACGUACCCAGUCGUGGGGGAUAACGCAGCGAAAGUUGUGCUAAUACCGCAUACGACCUGAGGGUGAAAGCGGGGGACCGUAAGGCCUCGCGCGAUUGGAGCGGCCGAUGUCUGAUUAGCUAGUUGGUGGGGUAAAGGCCCACCAAGGCGACGAUCAGUAGCGGGUCUGAGAGGAUGAUCCGCCACACUGGGACUGAGACACGGCCCAGACUCCUACGGGAGGCAGCAGUGGGGAAUUUUGGACAAUGGGGGCAACCCUGAUCCAGCCAUGCCGCGUGCGGGAAGAAGGCCUUCGGUUGUAACCG
rnacentral:rRNA from 1 species